rnacentral:rRNA from 1 species
UACGAAAGGUGCAAGCGUUACUCGGAAUCACUGGGCGUAAAGCGCACGUAGGCGGACUACUAAGUCAGGGGUGAAAUCCCGGGGCUCAACCCCGGAACUGCCUUUGAUACUGAUAGUCUCGAGUCCGGAAGAGGUGAGUGGAAUUCCGAGCGUAGAGGUGAAAUUCGUAGAUAUUCGGAGGAACACCAGUGGCGAAGGCGGCUCACUGGUCCGGUACUGACGCUGAGGUGCGAAAGCGUGGGGAGCAAACAGG